GAUGAACGCUGGCGGCGUGCUUAACACAUGCAAGUCGAACGGUAAGGCCCUUCGGGGUACACGAGUGGCGAACGGGUGAGUAACACGUGGGUGAUCUGCCCUGCACUUCGGGAUAAGCCUGGGAAACUGGGUCUAAUACCGGAUAGGACUCCGGACUGCAUGGUCUGGGGUGGAAAGCUUUUGCGGUGUGGGAUGGGCCCGCGGCCUAUCAGCUUGUUGGUGGGGUGAUGGCCUACCAAGGCGACGACGGGUAGCCGGCCUGAGAGGGUGACCGGCCACACUGGGACUGAGAUACGGCCCAGACUCCUACGGGAGGCAGCAGUGGGGAAUAUUGCACAAUGGGCGCAAGCCUGAUGCAGCGACGCCGCGUGAGGGAUGACGGCCUUCGGGUUGUAAACCUCUUUCAGCAUCGACGAAGCGAAAGUGACGGUAGGUGCAGAAGAAGGACCGGCCAACUACGUGCCAGCCGCCGCCGUAACAC
rnacentral:rRNA from 1 species